rnacentral:misc_RNA from 1 species
UUACAAUAUCUUUCCCUAAACUAAAUUAUUGAGCGGGUAAAGUUUCUGGUCUCCAUAGAAAAUCACCCGACCCAUACCCGAUAUCCGAAUGAUCGAAUAAACCAUCUAACCCGACAUAUUCACCCAUAUUGAUAUUAUUACCGCUAAAAUGAUCCGAUUCAACAAUACCCAAAUCAAACGGGUCAUAACUUGGUAUCUGGUCCUCCAAUCCCCAAAACUCGUUACUGAGUGAAUCAGUACAAACUCGGACUGACUCAGGCUCCGCCUCGAUAGGCGGAGGUAGUCCGAGUUCAUCAUCAGAAGCUUCUAGAAGGUAUCCUAACUCCGGCUGAGAUUCGCCGGAUUCCGACGAAACUCCGGCGGUCUCUGAA